CGAACGGGUGAGUAAUGCGUGACCAACCUGCCCCAUGCUCCAGAAUAGCUCUUGGAAACGGGUGGUAAUGCUGGAUGCUCCAACUUGACGCAUGUCUUGUUGGGAAAGUGUUUAGUGGCAUGGGAUGGGGUCGCGUCCUAUCAGCUUGUAGGCGGGGUAAUGGCCCACCUAGGCUUCGACGGGUAGCCGGCCUGAGAGGGCGGACGGCCACAUUGGGACUGAGACACGGCCCAAACUCCUACGGGAGGCAGCAGCU
rnacentral:rRNA from 1 species